rnacentral:lncRNA from 1 species
AUGGUUCCUCUAACGGUGUCUCCGGUGGUUCUUCUGAUGGUGUCUCCGAGGGUACGUCCGAUGGUUCCUCCGGUGGUAUCUCCACCGGUUCCUCCGAUGGUGUCUCCAACGCUACGUCCGAUUGUACCUCCGGUGUCAUCACCCGUGGUGUUUCCGAUGGUUCCUCCGAUGGUUCCUCUGAUGGUUCCUCCGAUGGUUUCUCCAAUGGUUCCUCUGAUGGUUCCUCCGAUGGUUCCUCCGAUGGUUCCUCCGAUGGUACCUCCAACACUACGUCCGAUGGUACCUCCGUUGACAUCUCCGGUGGCACCGCCGGUUGUAGCUCUGGUGGUUGUCACCUGCCUGAUGUCCCUCACGGUUGUAGCUCUGGUGGUUGCACCUCUGGUGGUUGUACCUCUGGUGGUGGCAGCUCUGGUGGCUGUAGAUCUGGUGGCUGUAGAUCUGGUGGUUGUAGAUCUGGUGGUGACCAAUGGUUGGGUGGUGAUACCUUUGGCGACGUCUCCGGCGGUACCUCUGCUGGUUGUACCCUUGCUGGUUGUACCUCUGCUGGUUGUCACCAGGCCGACGGCAACACCAGUGGUGGCACCUCUGGUGGCGGCACCUCUGGUGGUGGCACUUCUGGUGGUGGCACCUCUGGUGGCCACCACAGCUCCGACGGUGCUUUUGGAGGUGUCCACCACAACCGCGGUACCUCCGGUGGUUGUCACCGUUUCAGAGGUGUCCAUCAUGGUGGUGGCGUCUCCGGUGGCUUUGGACGCAGCCCUGGUGGUGGUGGCACCUCGGGAACGGGUGACGGUGACACCUCGGGAACGGGUGGUGGUGGUGGUGGUGGUGGCACCUCGGGACCGGGUGACGGUGACAGCUUUGGGUGUUCUGGAGGUGACGGCCACAGCUGCUCCGGUGGCAUCGGAGAUGGACGUGGUGACGGUGGAACCUCUGGACCUGGUGGAGGUGACACCGGUGGAGGUGACACCGAUGGUUGGGGUGACACCGGUGGAGGUGACACCGGUGGAGGUGACACUGAUGGUGGAGGUGACGUUGGUGGAGGUGACACUGAUGGUUGGGGUGACACCAAUGGAGGUGACAUCGGUUGGGGUGACACCGGUGGAGAUGACAUCGGUUGGGGUGACACCAAUGGAGGUGACACCAAUGGUUGGGGUGACACCAGUAGAGGUGACACCAAUGGCUGGGGUGACACCGGUGGAGGUGACACCGAUGGUUGGGGUGACACCGACGGAGGUGACAUUGGUUGGGGUGACACCGGUGGAGGUGACACCAAUGGUUGGGGUGACACUGGAGGACCUGCAGCGGGAGCUGGUGGCGGUGACACCGGGUGACACGGCGGUGGGACAGCGGUGGCAGCGCCGUGGCUUCUUGUAG